ACCUCUAUUUGAUGAAAUCUGUUACUCUCAAAGCCUAAUGACAAUGAAAAUGCUGAUCCUCCUUUGCUAGAGGU
rnacentral:sRNA from 1 species